UAAGGAAUAUUGGUCAAUGGACGCAAGUCUGAACCAGCCAUGCCGCGUGGAGGAUGACGGCCCUCUGGGUUGUAAACUCCUUUUAUCUGGGAAGAAAUGCAGAUUUUCUAAUCUGUUUGACGGUACCAGAGGAAUAAGCACCGGCUAACUCCGUGCCAGCAGCCGCGGUAAUACGGAGGGUGCAAGCGUUAUCCGGAUUCACUGGGUUUAAAGGGUGCGUAGGUGGAGUGGUAAGUCAGUGGUGAAAUCUCCAAGCUUAACUUGGAAACUGCCGUUGAUACUAUCAUUCUUGAAUAUCGUGGAGGUAAGCGGAAUAUGUCAUGUAGCGGUGAAAUGCUUAGAUAUGACAUAGAACACCGAUUGCGAAGGCAGCUUGCUACACGAUCAUUGACACUGAGGCACGAAAGCGUGGGGAUCAAACAG
rnacentral:rRNA from 1 species